AUUGAACGCUGGCGGCAGGCCUAACACAUGCAAGUCGAACGAGUGGCGGACGGGUGAGUAAUGUCUGGGAAACUGCCUGAUGGAGGGGGAUAACUACUGGAAAAGGUAGCUAAUACCGCAUACCAUCAGAUGUGCCCAGAUGGGAUUAGCGUGUUGGUGGGGGAACGGCUCCCCAAGGAGACGAUCCCUAGCUGGUCUGAGAGGAUGACCAGGCACACUGGAACUGAGACACGGUCCAGACGCCGACGGGAGGCAGCAGUGGGGAAUAUGGCACAAUGGGAGCAAGCCUGAUGCAGCCAUGCCGCGUGUAUGAAGAAGGCCUUCGGGGUGUAAAGUACUUUCAGCGGGGAGGCGUUACCCUCAGAAGAAGCACCGGCUAACUCCGUGCCAGCAGCCGCGGUAAUAC
rnacentral:rRNA from 1 species